GAUGAACGCUAGCUACAGGCUUAACACAUGCAAGUCGAGGGGUAACAAGAGAAAAGCUUGCUUUUCUUGUUGACAACCGGCGCACGGGUGAGUAACGCGUAUCCAACCUGCCUAUAACUAGGGAAUAACCUUGCGAAAGUAAGACUAAUACCCUAUGAUUUCCUUUGAUGACAUCAGAUUAGGAAUAAAGAUUUAUCGGUUAUAGAUGGGGAUGCGUCUGAUUAGCUUGUUGGCGGGGUAACGGCCCACCAAGGCAACGAUCAGUAGGGGUUCUGAGAGGAAGGUCCCCCACAUUGGAACUGAGACGCGGUCCAAACUCCUACGGGAGGCAGCAGUGAGGAAUAUUGGUCAAUGGGCGGAAGCCUGAACCAGCCAAGUAGCGUGCAGGAUGACGGCCCUAUGGGUUGUAAACUGCUUUUAUACAGGAAUAAAGUUAGCCACGUGUGGUUAUUUGUAGGUACUGUAUGAAUAAGGACCGGCUAAUUCCGUGCCAGCCGCCGCGGUAA
rnacentral:rRNA from 1 species